rnacentral:rRNA from 2 species
GUUGUAGUCUGGAGAAGUGCUUUCCGCGCUGGACCGUGUAUAAGUCUCUUGGAACAGAGCGUCAUAGAGGGUGAGAAUCCCGUCUUUGACACGGACUACCAGUGCUUUGUGAUGCGCUCUCGAAGAGUCGAGUUGUUUGGGAAUGCAGCUCAAAAUGGGUGGUAAAUUCCAUCUAAAGCUAAAUAUUGGCGAGAGACCGAUAGCGAACAAGUACCGUGAGGGAAAGAUGAAAAGCACUUUGGAAAGAGAGUUAAACAGUACGUGAAAUUGCUGAAAGGGAAACGCUUGAAGUCAGUCGCGUUGUAUGGAACUCAGCCAUAGCUCUUGCUUGGUGCACUUUCUGUAUGACGGGCCAGCAUCGAUUUUGACCGUCGGAUAAGGGUUGAAGGAAUGUGGCACCUUCGGGUGUGUUAUAGCCUUCAGUCGCAUACGGCGGUUGGGAUCGAGGAACGCAGCGCGCCGCAAGGCAGGGGUUCGCCCACUUUCGCGCUUAGGAUGCUGGCAUAAUGGCUUUAAACGACCCGUCUUGAAACACGGACCAAGGAGUCUAACAUACCUGCGAGUGUUUGGGUGGAAAACCCGAGCGCGUAAUGAAAGUGAAAGUUGGGACCUCUGUCGUGGAGGGCACCGACGCCCGGAGCAGACGUUCUCUGACGCAUCCGCGGUUGAGCAUGUAUGUUGGGACCCGAAAGAUGGUGAACUAUGCCUGAAUAGGGUGAAGCCAGAGGAAACUCUGGUG